GGCCUGUCUCUAAACACUACUCCC
rnacentral:piRNA from 1 species